rnacentral:miRNA from 1 species
GUAAGACGAACAAAAAGUUUU